ACUGAAGUAGAGAUAUUUGGUCAUUUUUCCGAUGUGAAUUAAGAUGACCAUAACUCUCACGUCGUAGUUAUGGUACCACCUCCUGUGUCAUUAAAGGAUACUUGUGUGAUUUACUAGCUGUUUUAGGUACCUCCUACAGUCCUACGUACUCGUGUGAUUUACUUGUCGUUUUAUAUAAGCAUGAUGCUCGUAUGUUUUGAUAUUUAGCACUUUGCGUCAUAUGUGAAACAAGUAAUUUAAAUGAUUCCACCCAUUGUAAUUGCAUACUAGGUCUCAGAUUCAUCGCAUCAACCGUGUGGGGUAGUAUGCAAGGAUCAACCGAUGUGGAUAACAAAAUCUGGGUGCGAGCUUCCGGGAAAUCUAAUUGGGUCUAUGCAAACAAGCAGAUUUGGAAGAUAAUCCCUGUACAUGUAUGACUAUACGAACUCUUCUUCCCUCCAGGCAAUAGAGUUUAGCUUCAGUAAGCAAGUGCUAAGAUAACUUGCAUUCAUAACUCUGCUGCUGAUCAAGUCAAGUGUCUGUAUUUGGUGUUCAGGUUGAUUUGGCAAAUCUUUGACAGUAGCUGUGGGUCUUAUACUGAUGACAAUCAACGUGUCUUUUCCGACCAACCAGGGGUCGAUUCCAACAUAUGUUUUUCUCUUAUAUAAGGGCAGUGACUUCACUACGUUAGGCUGGAUGAUUCGAUGUUUAGUAGCUUCAUCAAACUGGAUGCUAGCAAAGUGAUAAAAUUUUGGAUGUUUUCGGAAAUAUAGCAUCACGAGCCCAAUAAGAGAAAAAAAUCAAACAUCAUUAUGAAUGCCUUAGGAUAAUGAUUUUACCUUGCGGUUAUACUCUGCAUUGCAUGCCUGGAGAGCUAUUGCUUUCAGAUCCAAUUUACAGUCCAGGUUGACCGUCGACACAGUAUUCUUGCCAUCAGAUCAGACACUAGAAAGCAUAGUACACCCAGGAGAAAUCAAACCAGGAAAUAGCUCUGGCUCAUACUGUCAAGCAACCAUAUAAAAAACAUCAGUUCCAAAACAAGGAAAGAGACAAGUUCUGGGAAAGAAUGAGAAAAUAUCAUACAUGAUAAAAUAGUGCUGACGGAACAGAAUUCACAUCCUAACCUGGUCGCAUGAUUCAAAGUUAGAUUUUGGCCCAGAAGAGGUGACAAGCGCCGACAUGCCAUGACGCUUGAAGAGGUGACAAAUCUGUGCCGACCCCCUCUUGGUGAUAACUCAGUCGGAGCCACUCUUGGUGACAUCUUGAAAAGGAGUACUCUACAACUACUGCUUAACAAGGGAGGCAAAAGGAACAUACUCCAUCUUAUAAGUAGUUCAUUACAAAAACUUGAAUUUGCAAAAGGAACUUGAAUGAUCAUUUAAAUUGUGUGGAGUGAUUAGCCAGAAAGAGAAGAGAAAGAAAUGCUUGUAGGAGUGACAAUUAAAAAUAAGAUAAUUGUUGGAGUAAACAACACUCGAUUAGUGACAGUUGAUUGACUAUUAAAGAGGGCAAGAUGAUAUGAUAAUUACUGUAACUACUCUACGUUAAUUGAGGAGUACUCCAUUUGACCAUUUUGAUCAUCUUGGUCGUUUUCAAAUGGUUUUGUACUCCAUUUGAUCAGUUUCAGUUUCAGUAUGCACAUUUUCAGUUUCAGUACUCUAUAUUAACUGAAAAGGAGUACAUUUUGAUCAUUUUCAAAUGGUUCUGUGAUCACCAGAUAAUGGUACUGGUAAUAGUGGAUUUAUAUCUUGUGAUCACCAGAUAAGUAUCACCAGAAAAUGGAGUAGUGUGUUUUCUGGUAGAGAACCAAGAAAAGACAUUCAAAAUCUACUGGGAAAUUAAACUUUAAAUUAGGCGCAUAAACUUUAAACUAAAAUGUAAGUCCUAAUUCGUUUGGUUUUAAAGAAAACUUGUUUGAAGUAAAGCAGUAUAGUCCCUACAUGAAGGAUAGGAAGAAGGAAUGGAAAGAUAAAUUUCUGAAAUGAAGAUAACAAAACGGACACUGAACAAUUGAACAGUCACUUCAACCAACACUCGGCUACUGAUACUGAAUCUUGGUACUGCACAAGCAUCAUCAUUAACAUGGUCUCAAGCAGUGAAGUUCCACAAAAUUUACUGCAAUCUUGGUACUGGAAAUGUUUUACUCCUUGAAUGAAGUUCCACCAAUAUCUUGGUACUUCAACCAACAAAUGUACUCCAAAUGUUUUACGGGAGUAUGCUUGAGACCAUUAGGAGUGCCACACGGCUCCAGCAAUGUGUCCACCUAAAACACUUCAGAACAUUUAUUCAGGCGAGCUUAAUAGGAUGAACUGACUUGCAAACGUUUCAGAAUUGGCUGCCAAUGAGAGGAGGGUAAUGAAUUGACUUGCAACAAGUGCAUGAAGUAAGAUUUAUACAGAUUUACAGAGAUUCAGAUACAGUCAUUGAGGUCUGCUUGGCCUAGGCUGCAGUGCAUUCAGAUUUAGUCAUGAAAUGGAGUGAGAUGGAGAUGGCGCCUCACCUCUGUAUUUGGAGCUGCGGAGGAUCCAGGAGAUGACCACGCAGUCGACGAGGCUGUCGUCCACCGCCAGGACGAGCGGCGGCUCCUGGACCGUCCUCGACAUUGGGCAACAGCAGAAGGGGAUGAAGUUACCCUGCACCUCCCUCCAGCCGUUGCUGGCCUUGUUGCUGCUGCUGAACAUGAGGCCGCGGAGCGCCCGGUGCACGCAGGAGCAAUGAAUCCGCUCCAUCUGGCCGCCACACUUGUGCGACGCCAUGGAGCUCCAGAUUAAAGCCCUGGCCAAGUUAAAUGAGCUCCAGAUUAAAGCCCUGGUCGGGGAUGAGCAGCAGCGAGGGNNNNNNNNNNNNNNNNNNNNNNNNNNNNNNNNNNNNNNNNNNNNNNNNNNNNNNNNNNNNNNNNNNNNNNNNNNNNNNNNNNNNNNNNNNNNNNNNNNNNNNNNNNNNNNNNNNNNNNNNNNNNNNNNNNNNNNNNNNNNNNNNNNNNNNNNNNNNNNNNNNNNNNNNNNNNNNNNNNNNNNNNNNNNNNNNNNNNNNNNNNNNNNNNNNNNNNNNNNNNNNNNNNNNNNNNNNNNNNNNNNNNNNNNNNNNNNNNNNNNNNNNNNNNNNNNNNNNNNNNNNNNNNNNNNNNNNNNNNNUUCGGAUCCACCUAUCGGAAAGUAAAAAUGGGGUCCUGAAGGGGUGAGGACGAGAGGGCCAAUGGAGUGGCGGCGACGACGCGUGAGGGAGAGGCAGAGCGACGCGGGCGACGGAGAGGCGUCGGCAACACGGGCGACGGAGAGGCGCUGGCGACGAGUGCGAGGGAGAGGCGGCGGCGGCAGCGGCGAGCUAGGGAUUCGACUGGGGCAAGCCAGAGAGUGAGCGAGUGAGCAAGAGAGUGGACGAGAGAGAGGUGGGGGGUAGUUUAGCAAACAACCAAAAAAAUUGUACAUGACGAAUUUUACACUAGAAACGUAGAACAACAAUUAUUUCGGUACAGAUAGUACUAUAUAUUAAAGUGUAUACAUAUUAAUUAAACAUGGAUCAUACAAGAAAAAUAUACGUAUUAGAUAUAGUAUCACACAAAAAACACAGUUUUGAGAGAAGAAACCGAAUAUACUUGGUUUGUGUUGGAUUGCUUCCAUGCUUUUAUCUUUCGUCGCACAAUUUUCCUUAGCCUAUACAAAUAAAUUAAAAUGAUUUAAGAAAUUUUAGAUGAUUGUUUAUUUAUAUAUGAACAUACAAUUGAACAUUAUGGUUGGUUGUUUGCUUCGAGAGAAAUGCAACAUCUUUUUUUAUAAUAUGAAAAAUGGAUUUUCUAUUUUACAAAAUAAAAUUGUUGUGUUAGUUUCACUUUUAUUUUUAUUAUAUAUAUUAUAUAUGUUUAUUUCAUCAUAGAUAGAAAGUGAUGGGUUCCGACAUACACACUGAUAUAACGAUGACUGCCUGACUGAAACACUACGAGAGAAGGUGCAUAUAGCUAAUCCUUUGUAUAUAGCUAAAGGUGUAUUCUUUAUGUAUUUUUUUCAAAAUAUAGGAGACAUAGAUAUGGAACUUGAAGAUGCACAAAAAGAAUCCAUCAACAAGGGUUCCGAACCGACGCCACUAAAAGGGGCUGAAAAUUCAUCAAAAAAUUUACAACAUAAUAAUAUAGAAGCGGUGAUAUCUCACAAAAAAACAAAAAAGGAUGUCAAUUUAAAUGCUACCAUACAAGGUAUUUUUUCAAUGUUGUUAUCAGUCUUUCCUUCGUCAUAUUGCCUACUUUCACUCUUUUUUUAUCAGGCCAACAAAUUAUGUAUGUACACAUUCUCAAUUUGUCAUUUCGUGAUCACUUUACAUUACAAGUGAAGUGACCUUCAAUUAUUAUGCAAUUGUGAUCAUGUCAUAUUGUCUUUAUCUGUGAAAUUUAGCAUGCAUUAUCUUUACAUAACUUCAGAAAAAUAUUUCAGAAGCCCGUGGCAACGCACGAGCAUUCUACUAUCUCUACUUCUAAUGUCUCAGUUGGUAGUCUCCGUUUCAUGGUUAAUUUUCGUCCCAGCACUUUCGUCCGAUUUUUUUUCGGUGGUUAUUUUUCGUCACAUCCCCGUUGCCACGCCUUUGUCCAUCGGUUUAUCAAAGAUAAAAAUAGCCCAGCCAGACCGCAGUCCCGCACGACCUUGCCUCCUUGAUCCGACCUCGACAUCCAUCUCGCCGCCACCUCCUGCUCCGCCCCGCCGUGCGCCGUCCGCCGCCACCAUGACUGCGCCACCGUCCCCCGUAUCGUCUCCGCUAUCAGAAUCCCGCCGUCGCCGUGCCUGCGCCGCCGUCCCCAGUAUCCACUCCACUGUCCGAAUCCCGCUGUCGCGCCCGUCUCGCUCACCGUGGCCGAUGAUCGCGUUGACCGGGACCGCAUCCCUCCCCAAACGGCAGCCAUGAUGAAGGGCGCCGCUCGGCUAUGGAGGCAGGGGAAGAUGUAGGCGACGCCGGCGGUGGCCGCUCCACCGGCCACCGCCUGAAAACUGGUGCCAUGGUCGAGCUGGGCGGAGUGGCGCUUCGUCCGCGACGCCAUCUUCUCCCCAUACCCCGACCCUGGCGCCGCUCUUCGUAGGGUAGGUAUCCUCUUCCUGAAGCCCCCCCCCCCCCAAAGUAUCAGGCGAAUGGUGAGAAAUCUAUGACUGUUUCAUUGGUGCAGACCGCAGCGUGGCGGAGCAGGGGCUGCCUCCCGAUCUCCGUGGAGGUCACUGCGGCCCUCUUCGAGAUAAGGUUGCGCGAUCCCUUCUUCCGGUACGUUCUUUGGAUGCACAGUUCCAACCUUUUUCAAUGGGCUAAAUUUUCUAAACAGUGUUGACUUGAUAUUAUAGUACUAAAAUCUCGAGAAUACUUGAUGGACCAAGGCAAGUAGUGUUUGUAAUGACUUGGUUUAUGAUAGUCAUUGCCAUCAAAUAUUUUAAACUUGCAGAUAUUCCCGUUCAUAUCAUGACAUCCACAAUAACCGAACUAUCCUGCUUAUAAUGCUUCAGACAAAUAGAUAAAAAAUUAUAAGUUUUCUUAUCAGAAACAGAAAAAUUACACCACCAUAUGUGUGGAGUGUGUUGUAGUGCUCCACAAAAAUAUUUUUCCAUGACCCCUGAAAACUUUUAAGGAUAGAGUGAAUUGCCCACAACAAUUUCCAUGAAAUUCCUUCAUUGUGGUGGCAAGUAUAAUACUUAGUCCUGCAAAAUAUUAUUUUGUAUAUAAUCUAACACUUAAGUAACUGAUUGAGGGAAUUUUAGAGGAUGGAGAAGAUCGGGGUACAAUAGGGAAAUGGAUGGAGAGAGAGAAAAAGAGAGUGGAGAUGAGAGACAGGGUGAGAAAGAGGGUCUUUACAUAAAAAGGUUGACAAUGAUGGGUAAGCAUGAUUAGUAGAAGGGUAAAGUAUAUAUCAUACAACCAUUGUCAUAUACAAGGAGUCCGUAGCAACGCACGGGCAUUAUACUAGUAUAAGUAGAGUGGCUGCCAGCUCGGGGUGAUUAAACCUCCAGACGUGGCUGCCAGCUCGGCUCAUCCUGGACCGCACCUGUGAGUGAUGGCUUUGAUAGGGGGUCAUUUGCAAACUGGCUGAAAGUAAACAUUCAUGCCUACCACAUCGGCUGGAGUGAACUCGUAUGGUAUCCCUCUUCUCGUCUCUUUGCGUCUUCAAUGCCAUCGUCGUCAUGAGCAGGGGAAGGUGAUCGACAACCACAGAAGGCGACUCGACACCGGCAAGUAGCGGGUGGCGUUCAUGUAUAUGAUGAUGGAUUGAUGUGAAGUUUUGGUACUGAGUUUUAUUUUAGAAGCAUGACUAGGGUUUUGUUCGGGUUUGUGGUGAUUUGAACAUGUGCAAAAACCAUUAUUCCUAGUUGCUUGUACUAAUGUGCUUAAACAGAAGCGACAAUCCAUCUUUUAUCAGUUUGGUUAGCAGUGCCUUUUUUAGUUAGUUUGCAUAGACAUUGGCUGCUUUGGUAUUGUUUUCCACCAAAUUCACGUAUCUACCCUGCACUGUAACUGAAGCUUCUGGAUGUAUCAAUUCUGUUUCUGAACAUGUGAAACCACACAGCCACAAAUUAGCACUACAUUCUCAUGAAUGGAGUGUCAAGUUUUCAUAGAUUACUUGUCGACAGUACAAAGGUUAACAAGCAUUGUACCCCGUGGCCCCUGCCUUAACAGUGCUAGUAAUUUUCACUGUUUGCGGAACCAUUGAUCCCUCUUUAACUGAAAAGACUGAAGCCUUACUCUGUGCAUGUCCAAAAAAUUUAGUUUUGGCAAGUGCAACACAUUUAAGUCCAGAAAAAUGUAUAUUAAGUAUUUGUAAGUGCAAAAACCUUACAUUUGCUGUCUUGAAGUGCAAGAACUGAAUUUGUAUGCUCCAAGUAUGUCCAAGAAAUGAAUAUAUAUGCAAUGUUUAUUCAGCAAAAACUGAAAACUUAUUUGUUUAACUAGAAAAACUGAAAGUAUGCUAUGUUUUAGUGUAGAAACUGGUUUUUUCACUUUCUUUAAGUGCAACAUUUUUUUUUUGCUUUCUGUAAGUGCAGAAAUUGAAGUUCACAAACUGAACAUUUGCUCUGUUUAUUUUGCAUCUAGGUCUGGAUGAUCGAGUGUUCACUAUUGAGAUUUGUCAUGGUGGUCUUUUUCUAUGGUUUGGGGAGUUAAUAGAAUAUAAAUUGAUGGCAUGUUCAUUAUAUAUAAAUUGAUGGCAUGUGCAUUAUAUUGUUCCUGAGGGAGAUGUGGUUCUUAGAAUCAAGGUCAUAAUAUAUUUACAUAGUAUGUGAUAUAUGUACUCUAAUAUACAAGUAUUCAAUAGACAUAGUGUGGAGUUGGAGGGGGGGGGGGGCAAGUGCCCUCCUCCGCUAAUGUACAACAACAAAAAAACAUUUCAAGCCGGCAUAUUGGAGGUUGAUGCUUACAACAUUCCCACCCGAGAGAGUGCAGGGAUCGCUGUUGUUUGGCUAAGACAGAUCCUUGAAGUUGGUCAAUGUUCUUAGGGUGUUCUAGAGUGUACUGUGAGGUCACCAAGCUGUAUGGUGGCACCGACAUGAGGCAUGACAGCCAGGAGGAGGAAAGUGGCUCACCCUCUUAUCUCUGAUAGCAUAGAUAUGGGGACAGUGGGAGGAAGUUGGAGGACGAUUGACAAGGAGGACAUCGGGAGAAGAUGAAUGAGGAGGAAGACAAAAUCAUGGGCGGACAAGCCUAGCUCAAGACCAUGUAUACAUAGUUUCUCCGGCGAUGCCUAGUGAUACGUCUCAAACUUAUCUACAUUUUUUAUUGUUAAAUCCUACUGUGUUAUCAUUUUAAUUUUAUAGCAAUUUAUAUUAUUUUUCAGGAUUAAUCUAUUAAUUUAGCGCCUAGUUUCGGUUCUUGUUUUCUGCUUGUUUUUUGUUUUGCAGGAAAUCAAUAUCUACAGAGGUCAAAAUACAUUGUAGAUUUAACAUGAUUUUUUGGGCAACAAGAAACACUGGAAGCUUCGGGAAGUGUCGAGAGGGGCCACCAGCCAGCCACAUGGGCAUGUUACCCGACCAAGGGGGUGGCCGCGCCACCUGUCCAUGUCAGUCCCUCGGUUACCGCCUUGACCUGAUUCCACCGCCAUAAAUCCCUAUAAAUUCCGUUGUAUCUCCAGAAGAAUUUUGUCGCCGCCGCAAGUCUGUAUUCCAAAGAGAUCCCAUAUGGACCCCUGUUUUGAAGUUCUGUAGAGGGAGAAGCCAUUGGAGGAGCCUCUUCGUCAACCUUACUGCUUCCCUGGCCAUGUGAGAGUAGUUCUUUCAGGACCUACGGGUCCAUAAUAGGAGCUAGAUGGUUCUCUCUCUCUCUCUCUCUCUCUCUCUCUCUCUCUCUCUCUCUCUCUCUCUCUCUGGCACCAUGUUCCCCUUCUUCCUUAUGUUAUUGGGAUCAAUGCAAUGCAAUUUUAUGGUGUGUUUGAUGGGACAUGAUGACAUUUGUAAGUUUAAUCAUAUUGUUCAUUGACUCAUAUUGAAUCUUUCAAAGUUUCUUUGUUGUAUAAUUAAGUAGCUAUCUAUGAUUUUCAAUCUAUUUGUCUUCUAUGACCAAGAUUGUGAAGGAAAUAUGCCCUAGAGGCAAUACUAAAGUUGUUAUUUAUAUUUCCUUAUAUCAUGAUAAAUGUUUAUUAUUCAUGCUAGAAUUAUAUUAACCGGAAACUUAGUACAUGUGUGAAUACAUAGACAAAACAAAGUGUCCCUAGUAUCCCUCUACUUAACUAGCUCGUUAAUCAAAGAUUGUUAACUUUCCUAACCAUAGACAUGUGUUGUCAUUUGAUGAACGGGAUCACAUCAUUAGAGAAUGAUGUGAUGGACAAGACCCAUCCGUCAGCUUAGCAUAAUGGUCGUUAAGUUUUACUGCUAUUUGCUUUCUUCGUGACUUAUACAUAUUCAUCUGACUAUGAGAUUAUGCAACUCCCGAAUACCGGAGGAACACCUUGUGUGCUAUCAAACAUCACAACAUAACUGGGUGAUUAUAAAUAUGCUCUACAGGUGUAUCCGAAGGUGUUUGUUGAGUUGGCAUAGAUCAAGAUUAUGAUUUGUCACUCCGUGUAUCGGAGAGGUAUCUCUGGGCCCUCUUGGUAAUGCACAUCACUAUAAGCCUUGCAAGCAAUGUGACUAAUGGGUUAGUUGCGGGAUGAUGCAUUACGGAAUGAGUAAAGAGACUUGCCGGUAACGAUAUUGAACUAGGUAUGAUGAUACUGACGAUCGAAUCUCGGAAAAGUAACAUACCGAUGACAAAGGGAAUGACGUAUGUUGUUAUGCGGUUUGACCGACAAAGAUCUUCGUAGAAUAUUUAGGAGUCAAUAUGAGCAUCCAGGUUCCGCUAUUGGUUAUUGACCGGAGAUGUUUCUCGGUCAUGUCUACAUAGUUCUCGAACCCGUAGGGUCCGCACGCUUAAUGUUCGAUGACGAUUUGUAUUAUGAGUUAUGUGUUUUGGUGACAAAAGUUUUUUCGGAGUCCAGGAUGAGAUCAGGGACAUGACGAGGAGUCUCAAAAUGGUCGAGAGGUAAAGAUUGAUAUAUUGGAAGGUAGUAUUCGGAUACCGGAAGGGUUCCGGAGAGUAUCUGGUACACACCGGAGUACCGGAGGGGUUACCGGAACCCCCCGCGGAAAGAUAUGAGCCACAUGGGCCAUAUGAGGGAGGCUAACCAGCCCACAAGGGCUGGUGCGCCCCCCACAAGGGAGGAGGCCGAUUUGGACUAGGGAAGGGGGCGCCACCCCCCUUUCCUUCUCCUACUCCCUCUCCUUCCCCUUUCCCCCCUCUGGUAGAAGGAACAAAAGGGGGGGGGGGGGCUGUUGGAAAUAUGCCCUAGAGGCAAUAAUAAAAUGGUUAUUAUUAUAUUUCCUUAUUCAUGAUAAUUGUCUAUUGUUCAUGCUAUAACUGUGUUAUCCGGAAAUCGUAAUACAUGUGUGAAUAUAUAGACCACAACACGUCCCUAGUGAGCCUCUAGUUGACUAGCUCGUUAAUCAACAGAUAGUCAUGGUUUCCUGACUAUGGACAUUGGAUGUCAUUGAUAACGGGAUCACAUCAUUAGGAGAAUGAUGUGAUGGACAAGGCCCAAUCCUAAGCAUAGCACAAGAUCGUGUAGUCCGUUUUGCUAGAGCUUUUCCAAAUGUCAAGUAUCAUUUCCUUAGACCAUGAGAUUGUGCAACUCCCGGAUACCGUAGGAGUGCUUUGGGUGUGCCAAAUGUCACAACGUAACUGGGUGACUAUAAAGGUGCACUACGGGUAUCUCCGAAAGUGUCUGUUGGGUUGGCACGAAUCGAGACUGGGAUUUGUCACUCCGUAUGACGGAGAGGUAUCUCUAGGCCCACUCGGUAAUGCAUCAUCAUAAUGAGCUCAAUGUGACCAAGUGUCUGGUCACGAGAUCAUGCAUUUAUGGUACGAGUAAAGUGACUUGCCGGUAAUGAGAUUAAACGAGGUAUUGGGAUACCGACGAUCGAAUUCGGGCAAGUAACGUACCCAUUGACAAAGGGAAUUGCAUACGGGAUUGAUUGAAUCCUCGACAUCGUGGUUCAUCCGAUGAGAUCAUCGAGGAGCAUGUGGGAGACAACAUGGGUAUCCAGAUCCCACUGUUGGUUAUUGACCGGAGAGUCGUCUCGGUCAUGUCUGCAUGUCUCCCGAACCCGUAGGGUCUACACACUUAAGGUUCGGUGACGCUAGGGUUGUAGAGAUAUAAGUAUGCGGUAACCCGAAAGUUGUUCGGAGUCCCGGAUAAGAUCCCGGACAUCCUGAGGAGUUCCGAAAUGGUCCAGAGAUGAAGAAUUAUAUAUAGGAAGUCCAGUUUCGGCCAUCGGGAAAGUUUUGGGGGUCACCGGUAUUGAAUCGGGACCACCGAAAGGGUCCCGGGGGUCCACCGGGUGGGGCCACCUAUCCCGGAGGGCCGCAUGGGCUGAAGUGGGAGGGGAACCAGCCCCUAGUGGGUUGGUGCGCCCCCCUUGGGGCCCCCCUGCGCCUAGGGUUGGAUACCCUAGGGGUGGGGGGCGCUCCACUUUCCUUGGGGGGCAAGCCACCCCCCUUGGCUGUUUGGUAACGUAGUAAUUUCAAAAAAAUUCCUACGUACACGCAAGAUCAUGGUGAUGACAUAGCAACGAGAGGGGAGAGUGUUGUCCACAUACCCUCGUAGACCGUAAGCGGAAGCGUUAUGACAACGCGGUUGAUGUAGUCGUACGUCUUCACGAUCUGACCGAUCCAAGCACCGAACGUACGGCACCUCCGAGUUCAGCACACGUUCAGCUCGAUGACGAUCCCCGGGCUCCGAUCCAGCAAAGCUUCGGGGAUGAGUUCCGUUAGCACGACGGCGUGGUGACGAUGAUGAUGUUGUACCGGCGCAGGGCUUCGCCUAAACUCUGCGACGAUAUGACCAAGGUGGAAUAUGGUGGAGGGGGGCACCGCACACGGCUAAGGAACGAUCCGUAGAUCAACUUGUGUGUCCUGGGGUGCCCCCUGCCCCCGUAUAUAAAGGAGGGAGGGGGGAGGCCAGCCGGCCCUUGUGGGCGCGCCAAGGAGGAGGAGUCCUCCUCCUAGUAGGAGUAGGACUCCCCCUUUCCUACUCCUACUACGAGGGGGAAGAAAGGGGAAGAGGGGGGAAGGAAAGAGGGGGGCGCCGCCCCCCUCCUAUUCCAAUUCGGACCAGAGGGAGAGGGGGCGCGCGGCCCACCCUGGCCGCCCCUCUCUCUUUCCACCAAGGCCCAUGUGGCCCAUUAUCUCUCCCCGGGGGGUUCCGGUAACCCUCCGGCACUCCGGUUUUCUCCGACAACGUCAGGAACACUUCCGGUGUCCGAAUAUAGUCGUCCAAUAUAUCAAUCUUUAUGUCUCGACCAUUUCGAGACUCCUCGUCAUGUCCGUGAUCACAUCCGGGACUCCAAACAAACUUCGGUACAUCAAAACUUAUAAACUCAUAAUAAAACUGUCAUCGUAAUGUUAAGCGUGCGGACCCUACGGGUUCGAGAACUAUGUAGGCAUGACCUAGAACUAUUCUCGAUCAAUAACAAAUAGCGGAACCUGGAUGCCCAUAUUGGUUCCUACAUAUUCUACGAAGAUCUUUAUCGGUUAAACCGCAUAACAACAUACGUUGUUCCCUUUGUCAUCGGUAUGUUACUUGCCCGAGAUUUGAUCAUCGGUAUCCAAUACCUAGUUCAAUAUCGUUACCGGCAAGUCUCUUUACUCGUUACGUAAUGCAUCAUCCCGUAACCAACUCGUUGGUCACAUUGCUUGCAAGGCUUAUAGUGAUGUGCAUUACCGAGAGGGCCCAGAGAUACCUCUGCGACAAUCGGAGUGACAAAACCUAAUCUCGAAAUACGCCAACUCAACAUGUACCUUCGGAGACACCUGUAGUACUCCUUUAUAAUCACCCAGUUACGUUGUGACGUUUGGUAGUACCCAAAGUGUUCCUCCGGUAAACGGGAGUUGCAUAAUCUCAUAGUUACAGGAACAUGUAUAAGUCAUGAAGAAAGCAAUAGCAAUAUACUAAACGAUCAAGUGCUAGGAUAACGGAAUGGGUCAUGUCAAUCACAUCAUUCUCCUAAUGAUGUGAUCCCAUUAAUCAAAUGACAACACAUGUCUAUGGUUAGGAAACAUAACCAUCUUUGAUUAAUGAGCUAGUCAAGUAGAGGCAUACUAGUGACUAUAUGUUUAUCUAUGUAUUCACACAUGUAUCAUGUUUCCGGUUAAUACAAUUCUAGCAUGAAUAAUAAACAUUUAUCAUGAAAUAAGGAAAUAAAUAAUAACUUUAUUAUUGCCUCUAGGGCAUAUUUCCUUCAGUCUCCCACUUGCACUAGAGUCAAUAAUCUAGUUCAUAUCGCUAUGUGAUUUAACACCAAUAUUCACAUCUGCAUGUGAUUAAUACCCAUAGUUCACAUCAUCAUGUGAUCAACACCCAAAGGGUUUACUAGAGUCAAUAAUCUAGUUCACAUCGCUAUGUGAUUAACACCCAAAAGAGUACUAAGGUAUGAUCAUGUUUUGCUCGUGAGAGAAGCUUAGUCAACGGGUCUGUCAUAUUUAGAGCCGUAUGUAUUUCGUAAAUAUUCUAUAUCCACAAUGCUCUGCACGGAGUUACUCUAGCUAAUUGCUCCCACUUUCAAUAUGUAUCCAGAUUGAGACUUAGAGUCAUCUGGAUUGGUGUAAAAGCUUGCAUCGUUGUAACUUUAACGAUGGGCUCUUUUAUCACCUCCAUAAUCGAGAAACAUCUCCUUAGUCCUCACUAAGGAUAUUCUUGACCCAUGUCCAGUGAUCUACUUAUUAGAUCAAAAUUGUAUUCCUUUGCCAAACACAGAGCAAGGUAUACAAUAGGUCUGGUUCACAACAUAGCAUACUUUAUAUAACCUAUGACUGAGGCAUAGGGAAUGACUUUUCAUUCUCUUUCUAUUUUCUGCAAUGGUCGGGUCUUGAGUCUUACUCAACUUCACACCUUGUAACACAUGCAAGAACUCCUUCUUUGACUGUUCCAUUUUGAAAUAUUUCAAAAAUUUAUCAAGGUAUGUACUCAUUGAAAAAUCUUAUCAAGCGUCUUGAUCUAUCUAUAUAGAUCUUGAUGCUCAAUGUGGAAGCAGCUUCACCGAGGUCUUGCUUUGAAAAGCUCUUAUUCAAGUAUCCUUUCAUGCUAUCCAGAAUUUCCAUAUCAUUUCCAAUUAACAAUAUGUCAUCCACAUAUAAUAUUAGAAAUGCUACAGAGCUCCCACUCACUUUCUUGUAAAUACAUGCUUCUUCAAAAGUCUGUAUAAAACCAUAUGCUUUGAUCAACUCAUCAAAGCAUAUAUUCCAACUCCGAGAUGCUUGCACCAGUCCAUAGAUGGAUCGCUGGAGCUUGCACAAUUUGUUAGCACCUUUAGGAUUGACAAAACCUUCUGGUUGCAUCAUAUACAACUCUUCUUUAAGAAAACCAUUAAGGAAUGCAGUUUUGUUUAUCCAUUUGCCAGAUUUCAUAAAAUGCGGCAAUUGCUAACAUGAUUCAGACAGACUUAAGCAUAGAUACGAGUGAAAAACUCUCAUCGUAGUCAACACCUUGAACUUGUCGAAAACCUUUUGCGACAAUUCUAGCUUUGUAGAUAGUAACACUAUCAGCGUCUGUCUUCCUCUUGAAGAUCCAUUUAAUCUCAAUGUCUCGCCGAUCAUUGGGCAAGUCAAUCAAAGUCCAUACUUUGUUUUCAUACAUGGAUCUUAUCUCAGAUCUCAUGGCCUCAAGCCAUUUUGCGGAACCUGGGAUCACCAUCGCUUCUUCAUAGUUCGUAGGUUCAUCAUGGUCUAGUAACAUAACUUCCAGAACAGGAUUACCGUACCACUCUGGUGCGGAUCUUACUCUGUAAGACCUACGAGGUUCUGUAAUAACUUAAUCUGAAGUUUCAUGAUCAUCAUCAUUAACUUCCUCACUAAUUGGUGUAGUAGUCACAGGAACAGAUUUCUGUGAUGAACUACUUUUAAAUGAGGGAGCAGGUACAGUUACCUCAUCAAGUUCUACUUUCCUCCCACUCACUUGUUUCGAGAGAAACUCCUUCUCUAGAAAGGAUCCAUUCUUAGCAACGAAUGUCUUGCCUUUGGAUCUGUGAUAGAAGGUAUACCCAACUGUUUCUUUUGGGUAUCCUAUGAAGACACAUUUCUCCGAUUUAGGUUCGAGCUUAUCUGGUUGAAGUUUCUUCACAUAAGCAUCGCAGCCCCAAACUUUAAGAAACGACAACUUUGGUUUCUUGCCAAACCACAGUUCAUAAGGCGUCAUCUCAACAGAUUUUGAUGGUGCCCUAUUUAACGUGAAUGCGGCCGUCUCUAAAGCAUAACCCUAGAAUGAUAGCGGUAAAUCAGUAAGAGACAUCAUAGAUCGCACCAUAUCUAGUAAAGUACGAUUACGAUGUUCGGACACACCAUUUCGUUGUGGUGUUCCGGGUGGCGUGAGCUGCGAAACUAUUCUGCAUUGUUUCAAAUGUAAACCAAACUCGUAACUCAAAUAUUCUCCUCCAUGAUCAGAUCGUAGGAAUUUUAUUUUCUUGUUACGAUGAUUUUCCACUUCACUCUGAAAUUCUUUGAACUUUUCAAAUGUUUCAGACUUGUGUUUCAUUAAGUAGAUAUACUCAUAUCUGCUUAAAUCAUCUGUGAAGGUGAGAAAAUAACGAUAUCCGCCACGAGCUUCAACAUUCAUCGGACCGCAUACAUCUGUAUGUAUGAUUUCCAACAAAUCUGUUGCUCUCUCCAUAGUACCGGAGAACGGUGAUUUAGUCAUCUUGCCCAUGAGGCACGGUUCGCAAGUACCAAGUGAUUCAUAAUCAAGUGAUUCCAAAAUUCCAUCAGUAUGGAGUUUCUUCAUGCGCUUUACACCGAUAUGACCUAAACAGCAGUGCCACAAAUAAGUUGCACUAUCAUUAUUAACUCUGCAUCUUUUGGCUUCGACAUUAUGAAUAUGUGUAUCACUACUAUCGAGAUUCAACAAAAAUAGACCACUCUUGAAGGGUGCAUGACCAUAAAAGAUAUUACUCAUAUAAAUAGAACAACCAUUAUUCUCUGAUUUAAAUGAAUAACCGUCUCGCAUCAAACAAGAUCCAGAUAUAAUGUUCAUGCUCAACGCUGGCACCAAAUAACAAUUAUUCAGGUCUAAAACUAAUCCCGAAGGUAGAUGUAGAGGUAGCGUGCCGACCGUGAUCACAUCGACUUUGGAACUGUUUCCCACGCGCAUCGUCACCUCAUCCUUGGCCAGUGCUUGCUUAUUUCGUAGUCCCUGUUUCGAGUUGCAAAUGUUAGCAACAGAACCAGUAUCAAAUACCCAGGUGCUACUACGAGCUCUAGUAAGGUACACAUCAAUAACAUGUAUAUCACAUAUACCUUUGUUCACCUUGCCAUCCUUCUUAUCCGCCAAAUACUUGGGGCAGUUCCGCUUCUAGUGUCCAGUCUGCUUGCAGUAGAAGCACUCAGUUUCAGGCUUAGGUCCAGACUUGGGUUUCUUCUCUUGAGCAGCAACUUCCUUGCUGUUCUUCUUGAAGUUCCCCUUCUUCUUCCCUUUGCCCUUUUUCUUGAAACUAGUGGUCUUGUUAACCAUCAACACUUGAUGCUCCUUCUUGAUUUCUACUUCCGCAACUUUUAGCAUUGCGAAGAGCUCGGGAAUUGUCUUGUUCAUCCCUUGCAUAUUAUAGUUCAUCACGAAGCUCUUGUAGCUUGGUGGCAGUGAUUGGAGAAUUCUGUCAAUGACACUAUCAUCAGGAAGAUUAACUCCCAGUUGAAUCAAGUGAUUAUUAUACCCAGACAUUUUGAGUAUGUGUUCACUGACAGAACUAUUCUCCUCCAUCUUGCAGCUAUAGAACUUAUUGGAGACUUCAUAUCUCUCAAUCCGGGCAUUUGCUUGAAAUAUUAACUUCAACUCCUGGAACAUCUCAUAUGCUCCAUGAUGUUCAAAACGUCGUUGAAGACCCGGUUCUAAGCCGUAAAGCAUGGCACACUGAACUAUCGAGUAGUCAUCAGCUUUGCUCUGCCAGACGUUCUUAACGUUGUCAGUUGCAUCAGCAGCAGGCCUAGCACCCAGCGGUGCUUCCAGGACGUAAUUCUUCUGUGCAGCAAUGAGGAUAAUCCUCAAGUUACGGACCCAGUCCGUGUAAUUGCUACCAUCAUCUUUCAACUUUGCUUUCUCAAGGAACGCAUUAAAAUUCAACGGAACAACAGCACGAGCCAUCUAUCUACAACAAACAUAGAUAAGCAAAAUACUAUCAGGUACUAAGUUCAUGAUAAAUUUAAGUUCAAUUAAUCAUAUUACUUAAAACUCCCACUUAGACAGACAUCUCUCUAGUCAUCUAAGUGAUCAUGUGAUCCAAAUCAACUAAACCAUAACCGAUCAUCACGUGAGAUGGAGUAGUUUUCAAUGGUGAACUUCACUAUGUUGAUCAUAUCUACUAUAUGAUUCACGCUCGACCUUUCGGUCUCCGUGUUCCGAGGCCAUAUCUACAUAUGCUAGGCUCGUCGAGUUUAACCUGAGUAUUCUGCGUGUGCAAAACUGGCUUGCACCCGUUGUAUAUGGACGUAGAGCUUAUCACACCCGAUCAUCACGUGGUGUCUGGGCACGAAGAACUUUGGCAACGGUGCAUACUCAGGGAGAACACUUCUUGAUAAUUUUAGUGAGAGAUCAUCUUAAAAUGCUACCGUUAAUCAAAGCAAGAUAAGAUGCAUAAAGGAUAAACAUCACAUGCAAUCAAUAUAAGUGAUAUGAUAUGGCCAUCAUCAUCUUGUGCUUGUGAUCUCCAUCUCCGAAGCACCAUCGUGAUCACCAUCGUCACCGGCGCGACACCUUCAUCUUCAUCGUAGCAUCGUUGUUAUUUACGCCAUCUAUUGCUUCUACGACUAUCGCUACCACUUAGUGAUAAAGUAAAGCAAUUACAGGGCGUUUGCAUUUCAUACAAUAAAGCGACAACCAUAUGGCUCCUGCCAGUUGCCGAUAACUUCGGUUACAAAACAUGAUCAUCUCAUACAAUAAAAUAUAGCAUCACGUCUUGACCAUAUCAUAUCACAACAUGCCCUGCAAAAACAAGUUAGACGUCCUCUACUUUGUUGUUGCAAGUUUUACGUGGCUGCUACGGGCUUAGCAAGAACCGUUCUUACCUACGCAUCAAAACCACAACGAUAGUUCGUCAAGUUAGUGCUGUUUUAACCUUCGCAAGGACCGGGCGUAGCCACACUCGAUUCAGCUAAAGUGAGAGAGACAGACACCCGCCAGCCACCUUUAAGCACGAGUGCUCGUAACGAUGAAACCAGUCUCGCGUAAGCGUACGCGUAAUGUCGGUCCGAGCCGCUUCAUCUCACAAUACCGCCGAACCAAAGUAUGAAAUGCUGGUAAGCAGUAUGACUUGUAUCGCCCACAACUCACUUGUGUUCUACUCGUGCAUAUGACAUCUACGCAUAAAACCUGGCUCGGAUGCCACUGUUGGGUAACGUAGUAAUUUCAAAAAAAUUCCUACGUACACGCAAGAUCAUGAUGAUGACAUAGCAACGAGAGGGGAGAGUGUUGUCCACGUACCCUCGUAGACCGUAAGCGGAAGCGUUAUGACAACGCGGUUGAUGUAGUCGUACAUCUUCAUGAUCCGACAGAUCCAAGCACCGAACGUACGGCACCUCCGAGUUCAGCACACGUUCAGCUCGAUGACGAUCCCCGGGCUCCGAUCCAGCAAAGCUUCGGGGAUGAGUUCCGUUAGCACGACGGCGUGGUGACGAUGAUGAUGUUGUGCCGGCGCAGGGCUUCGCCUAAACUCCGCGACGAUAUGACCGAGGUGGAAUAUGGUGGAGGGGGCACCGCACAUGGCUAAGGAACGAUCCGUAGAUCAACUUGUGUGUCCUGGGGUGCCCCCCUGCCCCCGUAUAUAAAGGAGGGAGGGGGGAGGCCGGCCGACCCUUGUGGGCGCGCCAAGGAGGAGGAGUCCUCCUCCUAGUAGGAGUAGGACUCCCCCUUUCCUACUCCUACUAGGAGGGGGAAGGAAGGGGAAGAGGGGGGAAGGAAAGAGGGGGGCGCCGCCCCCCUCCUAGUCCAAUUCGGACUAGAGGGAGAGGGGGCGCGCGACCCACCCUGGCCGCCCCUCUCUCUUUCCACAAAGGCCCAUGUGGCCCAUUAUCUCUCCCCAGGGGGUUCCGGUAACCCUCCAGCACUCCGAUUUUCUCCGACAACGUCCGGAACACUUCCGGUGUCCGAAUAUAGUCGUCCAAUAUAUCAAUCUUUAUGUCUCGACCAUUUCGAGACUCCUCGUCAUGUCCGUGAUCACAUUCGGGACUCCGAACAAACUUCAGUACAUCAAAACUUAUAAACUCAUAAUAAAACUGUCAUCGUAACGUUAAGCGUGCGGACCCUACGGGUUCGAGAACUAUGUAGACAUGACCUAGAACUAUUCUCGGUCAAUAACCAAUAGCGGAACCUGGAUGCCCAUAUUGGUUCCUACAUAUUCUACGAAGAUCUUUAUCGGUCAAACCGCAUAACAACAUACGUUGUUCCCUUUGUCAUCGGUAUGUUACUUGCCCGAGAUUUGAUCGUCGGUAUCCAAUACCUAGUUCAAUCUCGUUACCGGCAAGUCUCUUUACUCGUUACGUAAUGCAUCAUCCCGUAACCAACUCAUUGGUCACAUUGCUUGCAAGGCUUAUAGUGAUGUGCAUUACCGAGAAGGCCCAGAGAUACCUCUCCGACAAUCGGAGUGACAAAACCUAAUCUCAAAAUACGCCAACUCAACAUGUACCUCCGGAGACACCUGUAGUACUCCUUUAUAAUCACCCAGUUACGUUGUGACGUUUGGUAGUACCCAAAGUGUUCCUCCGGUAAACGGGAGUUGCAUAAUCUCGUAGUUACAGGAACAUGUAUAAGUCAUGAAGAAAGCAAUAGCAAUAUACUAAACGAUCAAGUGCUAGGCUAACGGAAUGGGUCAUGUCAAUCGCAUCAUUCUCCUAAUGAUGUGAUCCCAUUAAUCAAAUGACAACACAUGUCUAUGGUUAGGAAACAUAACCAUCUUUGAUUAAUGAGCUAGUCAAGUAGAGGCAUACUAGUGACUAUAUGUUUGUCUAUGUAUUCACACAUGUAUCAUGUUUCCGGUUAAUACAAUUCUAGCAUGAAUAAUAAACACUUAUCAUGAAAUAAGGAAAUAAAUAAUAACUUUAUUAUUGCCUCUAGGGCAUAUUUCCUUCAUUGACCGCCGCCCCCCAUCUAGAUGGGAUCUAGAGGGGCCGGCGCCCUCCUGGACCCCUAUAUAAAGAGGGGGGAGGGAGGGCUGCGAACCCUAGCCCUUGGCGCCUCCCUCUCCCUCCCGUGACACCUCUCCCUCUCGUUGUGCUUGGCGAAGCCCUGCCGAGAUCACUGCUGCAUCCACCACCACGCCGUCGUGCUACUGGAUCUCCAUCAACCUCUCCUUCCCCCUUGCUGGAUCAAGAAGGAGGAGACGUCUUCCCAACCGUACAUGUGUUGAGCGCAGAGGUGCCGUCCGUUCGGCGCUAGGAUCUCCGGUGAUUUGGAUCACGACGAGUACGACUCCCUCAGCCCCGUUCUCUUGAACGCUUCCGCGCGCGAUCUACAAGGGUAUGUAGAUGCACUCCUCUCUCUCGUUGCUAGACGACUCCAUAGAUUGAUCUUGGUGAAGCAUAGAAAAUUUUAUUUUCUACAAUGUUCCCCUACAGUAGCAUCAUGAGCUAGGUCUAUGCGUAGUUUCUAUGCACGAGUAGAACACAAACUUGUUGUGGGCAUAGAUGUUGUAAAUUUUCUUGCCACUACUAGUCUUAUCUUGCUUCGGCGGCAUCAUGGGAUGAAGUGGCCCAGACCGACCUUACACGUACGCUUACGUGAGACACAUUCCACCGACUGACAUGCACUAGUUGCAUAAGGUGGCUAGCGGGUGUCUGUCUCUCCCACUUUAGUUGGAGCAGAUUCGAUGAAAAGGGUCCUUAUAAAGGGUAAAUAGAAAUUGGCACAUCACGUUGUGGUUUUACGUAGGUAAGAAACAUUCUUGCUAGAAACCUAUAGAAGCCACGUAAAAACUUGCAACAACAAUUAGAGGACGUCUAACUUGUUUUUGCAGCAUAUGCCUUGUGAUGUGAUAUGGCCAAAAGGAUGUGAUGAAUGAAACAUAUGUGAUGUAUGAGAUUGAUCAUGUUCUUGUAAUAGGAAUCACGACUUGCAUGUCGAUGAGUAUGAUAACCGGCAGGAGCCAUAGGAGUUGUCUUUAUCUUUUUGUAUGACCUGCGUGUCAUUGAAUAACGCCAUGUAAAUCACUUUACUUUAUUGCUAAACACGUUAGCCUUAGAAGUAGAAGUAAUCGUUGGCGUGAUAACUUCAUGAAGACACGAUGAUGGAGAUCAUGGUGUUAUGCCGGUGACGAAGAUGAUCAUGGCGCCCCAUAGAUGGAGAUCAAAGGAGCAAUAUGAUGUUGGCCAUAUCAUGUCACUAUUUGAUUGCAUGUGAUGUUUAUCAUGUUUUACAUCUUAUUUGCUUAGAACGACGGUAGCUUAAAUAAGAUGAUCCCUCGCAUAAUUUCAAGAAAGUGUUCCCCCUAACUGUGCACCGUUGCGAAGGUUCGUUGUUUCGAAGCACCACGUGAUGAUCGGGUGUGAUAGAUCCUAACGUUCGAAUACAACGGGUGUAAGCCAGAGUUACACACGCAAUACACUUAGGUUGACUUGACGAGCCUAGCAUGUACAGACAUGGCCUCGGAACAUGGAAGACCAAAAGGUCGAGCAUGAUUCAUAUAGAAGAUACGAUCAACAUGAAGAUGUUCACCGAUGUUGACUAGUCUGUCUCACGUGAUGAUCGGACACGGCCUAGUUGACUCGGAUCAUGUUUCACUUAGAUGACUAGAGGGAUGUCUGUCUGAGUGGGAGUUCAUUGAAUAAUUUGAUUAGAUGAACUUAAUUAUCAUGAACUUAGUCUAAAAUCUUUACAAUAUGUCUUGUAGAUCAAAUGGCCCACGCUAAUGUUGCCCUCAACUUCAACGCGUUCCUAGAGAAAACCAAGCUGAAAGAUGAUGGCAGCAACUAUACGGACUGGGUCCGGAACCUGAGGAUCAUCCUCAUAGCUGCAAAGAAAGAUUAUGUCCUGGAAGCACCGCUAGGUGAAGCACCCAUCCCAGAGAACCAAGACAUUAUGAACGCUUGGCAGUCUCGUGCUGAUGAUUACUCCCUCGUUUAGUGCGGCAUGCUUUACAGCUUAGAACUGGAGCUCCAAAAGCGUUUGAGCAACAUGGAGCAUAUGAGAUGUUCGAAGAGCUGAAAAUGGUUUUACACGCUCAUGCCCGGGUCGAGAGAUAUGAAGUCUCUGACAAGUUCUUCAGUUGUAAGAUAGAGGAAAAUAGUUCUGUCAGUGAGCACAUACUCAAAAUGUCUGGGUUGCACAACCGCUUGACUUAGCUGGGAGUUAAUCUCCUGGAUGACAUGGUUAUUGACAGAAUCCUUCAGUCGCUUCCACCAAGCUACAAGAGCUUUGUGAUGAACUUCAAUAUGCAGGGGAUGGAAAAGACCAUUCCUGAGGUAUAUUCAAUGCUGAAAUCAGCAGAGGUAGAGAUCAAAAAGGAGCAUCAAGUGUUGAUGGUGAAUAAAACCACUAAGUUCAAGAAAGGCAAGGGUAAGAAGAACUUCAAGAAGGACGGCAAGGGAGUUGCCGCGCCCGGUAAGCCAGUUGCCGGGAUGAAGCCAAAGAAUGGACCCAAACUUGAGACUGAGUGCUUUUAUUGCAAGGGAAGUGGUCACUAGAAGCGGAACUGCCCCAAGUACUUAGCAGACAAGAAGGCCGGCAACACCAAAGGUAUAUGUGAUAUACAUGUUAUUGAUGUGUACCUUACCAGCACUCGUAUUAGCUCCUGGGUAUUUGAUACCGGCGCGGUUGCUCAUAUUUGUAACUCAAAGCAGGAGCUGCGGAAUAAGCGGAGACUGGUGAAGGACGAGGUGACGAUGCGCGUCAGGAAUGGUUCCAAGGUCGAUGUGAUCGCCGUCGGCACGCUACCUCUACAUUUACCUACGAGAUUAGUUUUAAACCUCAAUAAUUGUUAUUUAGUGCCAGCUUUGAGCAUGAACAUUGUAUCUGGAUCUCAUUUAAUACGAGGUGGCUACUCAUUUAAAUCCGAGAAUAAUGGUUGUUCUAUUUAUAUGAGAGAUAUGUUUUAUGGUCAUGCCCCGCUGGUCAAUGGUUUAUUCUUAAUGAAUCUCGAACGUGAUGUUACACAUAUUCAUAGUGUGAAUACCAAAAUAUGUAUGGUUGAUAACGAUAGUCCCAUAUACUUGUGGCACUGCCGCCUUGUUCACAUUGGUGUCAAGCGCACGAAGAAGCUCCAUGCUGAUGGACUUUUAGAGUCUCUCGAUUAUGAAUUGUUUGACACAUGCGAACCAUGCCUCAUGGGCAAAAUGACCAAGACUCCGUUCUCCGGAACAAUGGAGCGAGCAACCAACUUAUUGGAAAUCAUACAUACUGAUGUGUGCGGUCCAAUGAGCGUUGAGGCUCGUGGAGGCUAUCGUUAUGUUCUCACUCUCACUGAUGACUUGAGUAGAUAUGGGUAUGUCUACUUGAUGAAACACAAGUCUGAGACCUUUGAAAAGUUCAAGGAAUUUCAGAAUGAGGUAGAGAAUCAACGUGACCAAAAGAUAAAGUUCUUACGAUCACAUCGUGGGGAAGAAUAUUGAAGUCACGAAUUUGGUACGCACUUAAGGAAAUGUGGAAUCGUUUCACAACUCACGCCGCCUGAAACACCUCAGCGUAACGGUGUGUCCAAACAUCGUAAUCGCACUCUAUUGGAUAUGGUGCGAUCUAUGAUGUCACUCACCGAUUUACCGCUAUCAUUUUGGGGAUACGCUCUCGAGACAGCUACAUUCAUUUUAAAUAGGGCACCGUCUAAAUCCUUUGAGACGACACUGUAUGAAUCAUGGUUUGGGAAGAAACCUAAGCCGUCGUUUCUAAAAGUUAGGGGAUGCGAUCACUACAAGAAAUAUGUCAACUAGUGACCUUCUGUCAGUGACCCUGGAAGAAUUGGUCAUAGAUCUAUAACCAUUUCAGACCAAUUGGUCAAAAGCUGUUCGGGGGGCUCCAAACCCUAAACCAUUGCGACCAUUUUGGUCAGAAAGAUCGUAAUUUCCUUACACGAAAUGGCCACAAAGCAAAUAGUGCUAGUCCGCUCCUUAUUUCUAGUUGUUAAUUACCAAUAUAGAUGGUCAUAGCCUUGUAGAUUGUCGUGGGUUGUGAUGACUAGGCGCCAUCUCAUCAGUUUUGCCUAUGUGUCAUGUCCAUGUGGCAGUUUUUGCCCUAGGUUGUGAAGCAACAUAUAUUUCUGUUAUUCCAAAAAUUCCCAAAAAAUUCUCAUAAAUGUUUUGGAUCAUAUCUUCAUCAAAUAUGUCAAAAACAUUCCUUGCCUAGUUCAAAAAUAAUUCGAAAAUAUUCAUUUUCCUAUUCUGUUCACAACAUCACUUUGUGAAGGAAGUACCAUUUUGGCAUGUCCAAAUGGUAUCCAUUUUCUACAGUGCUUUCCUCUACCCAAAUAACCAUCCUCCACCAAAUGUCAGCUCAAUCCAUUCAUUAUUUUGAGCCCAGCUUCAAAAUUCGUAUUUAUGUCCAGUGUGGUACUUUAUAAAGCAAGUACCACCUAGGCUCCUCCUUUUGAGGUGAAAAUUUGUGAAGACGGUCUUCUUAGUAACUGAUCAUCCUCAGCCAAAACUCAUGCCCAUUGGCCAUGUGCAUUUCACGUACCGCAAAUCAAACACUUGGCUGCUUAUUCAUGUUUGAGCAUCGAUCGGUCUCCUCGUGAGAAUCUUAUGUUGUGAUUUUCUUCCUAGCACCUACCUGUGGAGUGCCCAACCCACUAGACAUGCCUAGGCCGCCCAGAACACAUGGCAACGCAACAGGCACGCGGUGACCACGCGGCGGGCAUGCGAGCUUACGCGCUCUAGAGUUGGGGCCCUCGUCCACCGUCCAAACCUCGAUGUCUCACCAUCAAACCAUGUAUUUCUGAUUAAAUAGAUACUUAUUUACCUAGAAAUGAUUUUUGGAAAAAAUAGAGAGCAAACUAUGAGGCGGCUGCAGUUCAAAUUUGACCCGCUUCCAACUGAAUCGACGGGAAUUUGUCUUUCUCACCAGAGGUGGAUCAAAAUUUUUGACACCCAACCAUUUUGUCAAUUGUGCAUUAUAUAUGGCCUAGUAUUCUAUAAAAUUGAUUAGGUCCAAUUUUGCAACAAUUAUUUGGUAGUUCCUUCACAAAAAAACUCAUUUCAGGCACUCAGAAAAUGAAAAAUGAAUUUUCCGUGCAAAGAAAAUGAAAACUUCCUUAGGCAACAUUGUUUGUCAUUCCAAGAUGCACCCAUUUGCAUGAUAUGAGAAUAUUUGAACAAACUAUGCCAUGAAUGUGGCCAUAAGAUUGAUCAUUUGGCUUGAAAGCCAUGAAUCUUCACACAUGAUAGCUCAUUUCUGAGAACAUUUUUUUAAAAUAAUUACCGUAUUACAAGUUUAUUAUUUUUCCUGAAAACUUGGUCACAUAUAAUGACACAAUGCGAAGGUUUUCCAAUUUUUUGAUUUUUUUUUUAAUUUUUUAUGCCCGUUUCAAAAUGCGGUCAAAACGGCGGGCUUGACCGUUUCUAGCUAGUGGUUGAACCUUGGAAUUUUUUUGGUGUUUCUAUGAUUAAUUAGAUACAUAUUUACCUAGAAAUGAUUUUUGGAAAAAAUAAAGAGCAAACUAUGAGGCAGUUGCAGUUCAAAUUUGACCCGCUUCUAACUGAAUCGACGGGAAUUCGUCUUUUUCACCAGAGGUGAAUCAAAACUUUUGACACCCAACCAUUUUGUCAAUUGUGCAUUAUAUAUGGCCUAUUAUUUUAUAAAAUUGAUUAGGUCCAAUUUUGUAACAAUUAUUUGGUAGUUCCUUCACAAAAAAAACUCAUUUCAGGCACUCAAAAAAUGAAAAAAGAAUUUUUCGUGCAAAGAAAAUGAAAACUUCCUUAGGCAACAUUGUUUGCCAUUCCAAGAUGCACCUUUGUGAACAAUAUGAGAUCAUUUGAACAAACUAUGCCAUGAAUGUGGCCAUAAGAUUGAUCAUUUGGCUUGAAAGCCAUGAAUCUUCACGCAUGAUAGCUCAUUUCUGAGAACACUUUUUUAAAAUAAUUACCGUAUUACAAGUUUGUUAUUUUUCUUGGAAACUUGGUCACAUAUAAUGACACAAUGCGAAGGUUUUCCAAUUUUUUUAUUUUUUUUGAAUUUUUUAUGCCCAUUUCAAAAUGCGGUCAAAACGGCGGGCUUGACCGUUCCUAGCUAGUGGUUGAAUCUUGGAAUUUUUUUGGUGUUUCUAUGAUUAAAUAGAUACUUAUUUACCUAGAAAUGAUUUUCGAAAAAAAUAGAGAGCAAACUAUGAGGCAGCUGCAGUUCAAAUUUGACCCGCUUCCAAUUGAAUCGGCGGAAAUUUGUCUUUUUCACCAGAGGUGAAUCAAAAGGUUUUACACCCAACCAUUUUGUCAAUUGUGCAUUAUAUAUGGCCUAGUAUUUUAUAAAAUUGAUUAGGUCCAAUUUUGCAACAAUUAUUUGGUAGUUCCUUCACAAAAAAACUCAUUGCAGGCACUCAGAAAAUGAAAAAUGAAUUUUUCGUGCAAAGAAAAUGAAAACUUCCUUAGGCAACAUUGUUUGCCAUUCCAAGAUGCACCUUUGUGAACAAUAUGAGAUCAUUUGAACAAACUAUGCCAUGAAUGUGGCCAUAAGAUUGAUCAUUUGGCUUGAAAGCCAUGAAUCUUCACGCAUGAUAGCUCAUUUCUGAGAACACUUUUUAAAAAUAAUUUCCGUAUUACAAGUUUAUUAUUUUUCCAAGAAACUUGGUUACAUAUAAUGACACAAUGCGAUGGUUUUCCAUUUUUUUGUUUUUUUUUGGAAUUUUUUAUGCCCAUUUUAAAAUGCGGUCAAAAUGGCGGGCUUGACCGUUCCUAGCUAGUGGUUGAAUCUUGGAAAACUUUUGAUGUUUCUCUGAUUAAAUAGAUACUUAUAUACUUAGAAAUGAUUUUUGGAAAAAAUAAAGAGCAAACUAUGAGGUAGCUGUAGUUCAAAUUUGACCCGCUUUCAACUGAAUCGGCGAAAAAUUGUCUUUUUCAUCAGAGGUGGAUCAAAACUUUUUACACACAACCAUUUGGUCAAUUGUGCAUUAAAUAUGGCCUAGUAUUUUAGAAAAUUUAUGUUGUACAAUUUUGCAAGAAUUAUUUGGUAGGUCCUUCACAAAAAAACUCAUUUUGGGCACUCAAAAAAUAAAAAAUUGAUUUUUCAUGCAAAGAAAAUAAAAACUCCCUUUGUCAAUAUUGUUUUCUAAUCUAAGAUGUAAACUUGUGCAAAAUAUGGUAUCAUUUGAACAAAUAUUUGGUUGAUCUUUUACAAAAAAACUCAUUUUGAGCAUUGAAAAAUGAAAAUGAUUUUUUCGUGAAAAACUUAUGUUUGAUUACGACCAAUUUAGAUGGUCAUAAGGUCUUCAAAUUGUUUGUUGCGUUCUGAUUGAUCCAUAUACAUCUCACGCGGAUCGAUCAUCAGACACCGUCCGAUUGUCCAGGAUCCAACGGCUGCCUUCACCCCACACGUCUCACCCACUUAACCCUAAACAGACCGCCUCCCCCCUCACCCUCUCUCCUAUGCACUCACAGCCGCCGCCCCCAACCAUCUCCCUCCCUCAGAUCUCGAUCCGCCGCCGCCACCCCCAACCCACCCCCACCGCCACCGUCGACGACCCUCACCGUAGACGAGGUCGAGGCCGACCCUAGAUCGAGCCCAUGCCCAGACUCACGAGUGAAGCCUCAUGGAGCUGCCCACAAACUGCACCCCUUCGCAACCNNNNNNNNNNNNNNNNNNNNNNNNNNNNNNNNNNNNNNNNNNNNNNNNNNNNNNNNNNNNNNNNNNNNNNNNNNNNNNNNNNNNNNNNNNNNNNNNNNNNNNNNNNNNNNNNNNNNNNNNNNNNNNNNNNNNNNNNNNNNNNNNNNNNNNNNNNNNNNNNNNNNNNNNNNNNNNNNNNNNNNNNNNNNNNNNNNNNNNNNNNNNNNNNNNNNNNNNNNNNNNNNNNNAUCCACCCAUGGAAACCCCCUCUUCCACGGAUCCACCCACCCACCCACGCCCACCCAUGGAUGGAUGGAUGGGGCACACCAGUUCUGGCGAUGGUGGCGCCGGAUCCGCACCCACCUGUGCGAUGGAGGUCGGCCGCAUCGGAAUCCACCUGCGCGACGGAGGCCGACCGGAUCGGUGUGGCGCGGCACACCACACCAUACCGGAGCUUGCUGAUGCGGUGGUCGUCGACAAUGGUGCAUCUCCGACGGGACCUAGCCACCAAGGUACGUAUGCCGUUCUUGCCAACCCUAUCCACUCCCGAUUUGACCUUCCCCCGCUCGAUUCCGCUCCCAAUUCCACCAACCCUAAGCUCGGUCUUGUGGGUGUAUCCGACCGUCAUGUUCCUGACAACCUUGUCUCGGUUUCCUGUGCAGGAACUGUCCUCAACUUCGUCAACGAGGUAAAACCCUCCCUCCCCACUUAAACCCCAGAUUGCCUGCCUCCUCUUAGGGGCCAACCUUGUGCCUGCCGCCCCGUUUGCGCGAUGAGGUCUGUGGGGGUUUCCUCUCCCAUUUUGCAUCCUGUGGUGUUUUGUCCCGUGUGGCAAUGUUUGCGAACUUUAGCAGGGGAUGCGUGGUUCUGUACCAAACGAUGCUAGGUAGGUUCUGCCUCAGUACCCGUUAUACAUGUUAUACAAAUGGCAAGCGACCUAUGGAGGCGAUGAUUAUUUGUGUAGAGGUUCGUCAUGACAGCAUGCUGUUUGAUUUUUUUAUGCUGGCUGUCAUCGGUAGUUGCUUUGUGAGAGGCAACUUGAACAAUUCUGAGUUAUGUUAAAUACCACAGUUGUCAGUCCAGAUAAUCGGUCUAUGUGCAUUCCAUUACUUGUUUAUCAUAGCGUUGACAGAAUCCAAAGGACUGAAGCUGUCUUAUUCUUUAGUUCACACCAGUCUUUAGAAUUUGGUGAUGGCUCCUAAUACUGAAAAUUGUCUCAAGUUGAGAAAAUGUUUCUUUUCAGCAUGUCUUGCAUUCUAGUCUGCGGAUGUUUCAAUGUAGCCAACAUAGUUCAUUAUUGACUUCUCUUUUGAGCUGUUUCCCCUCUAUUUAACGAUUUACUCUCCAUAGAAGUGUCCGUCUCUGAUUUUGUAUUAAAAGUACGCUGAUUGUGACUGGAAGUCAAGUGCUUACGAAUGGAUACACUAGUGUUUCCAGAUAAAUUUUGCACUUCAGUAUAGGCUGUUUUUCCAUGAGCAGUAUAGGAUCACAUGUGCUAACUCUUUUCAGUAUGGCCCACCAAGGAUCAGUAACCACCUUGUUGCUAUGUUUUAGAGGAAAUAGCGUGCAUGCUACUAAUUGCAGUGCCGUUUAGCAAUUUUGUAUCUCUUCUCGUCGGAGCAAUUUGCAUGUUCUGUUUGUAUCGCUUGCUCCUUGCUGGUUCAGGUCUCAUCAAAUAAAAAGGGAAGUCAGCGGUGUUGUCUCUAUGUACCAUGCCAGCCAAGCUUACAAUCUGUUUUUAAGACUAAUAUAACAGGGAGGCUAAGCUUAAAAUAUGUAUCAUCAUCUUUCUCUUUGAGUAGAACUGAACUAGGACUUGGUAUUUGCAUCUCAACUAUAUUGUAACGUAUCCAAUGUGGCCUGCUCUGCUUUGAGUUGUUUCAAAUUUGAAUGGUUCGCUGUGUGUAGGUGUGAUCUGAAUUCUGAAUGGGUCUUUUGGCAGGUACGUGGAGGCCGGGAGCGCCAAGGCGCACCUCACAGACACGGACGUUGAUCAUGGUGUACUAGCUUUGCAAGGGCGUUGCUUUUUGCCACGGACGCAGUGUCCGGCACCAUGACCUCGAGCCACACAACGUGCAAAUUGGUGAAUGGGUUGGUAUCCUCUGGUUUGAUCCCAUAAAGAGGAAGUGUUCUCUUCUCUUUAUCAACCAAAGGCACUUUCUUCUCUCAUGGAUGGAUGGGACUCCAUCAAUUUAGUAUCAGUUUAGGUGUUAGUAUGCUGUUGAUGCUUGUGUUGAUGCCAUGCUUUUUUUCUUGUCAUGUGCUGAUAUUAACUGGUAGCAUCAGCUCCCAUGAUUGCUUGCUUGCUUACUCUACCAUGUGCUGAUAUUAAUAGUAACUUCUUGCAGAAACUCUUUGACACAAAUAUUGUCAUGCAUCAGUAGCAUGUUUGCUUGUUUUGGAGCAGCGAUUAAUUAGUUGUAAUGUUUUUCUUGUCUGAGAAACAUGUCGAGCUGCUUUCCAACCCCGUGGAAUGUUGCAAUCAAAUAUUCUUUGAUGUCCUUGCUUUUUCAGCUUUGCAAUCUUAUUCUGGAAAAUUAUUUCAAUCUGAAAUUCUUAGUUUUAGAAUAUCUAUUCAAAUUUAUUAAUUCCCUGGUUACUGUUAAGUCAAAAACCUGCAUUGCAAGAUAUACUGCAGUGCAUGUCCUUGUGGUACUAUGUGAUUUAUUAGCUGUUUGGAGAUGUACUCAUAUUGUGCCAUGUAUUUUAUUAGCUAUAUGAUUACACAUGUCAGUUUUAUUAUGAAAAUCUGGACUAUAGUAGUCAUAAUAUUGAGCUGUUGGGAGCCUCACCUUUUUGUGCACAAUACAUUUAGCACACAUAUCCACACUGAGUGCUUAUGAAAUAGCUAUGUGUCCUGCACAAUAAGUGCUUGUUCAUGUUUGGUUUUCCCUAAACUUUGUUUGUAUGCUUGAGAGCAAAUUUAGUUAAUUCUUUGAUGGAGCACUAAGACUAUGCAUGGAACAUUAGUUUUUAAGAUCUAAAACUGCUCGUCAUUCCUGUGAUGAUGUAGUUUAGUAGAUCUCAACUAAACCAUGUCUGUAUUAUGUGCCAGUGUAGCUGUACUGAUUCUUUGGUUUUCAUCCGUGCAGCAGAGGACAAGGGCGUCAUGGCCAACCAAGGCACAUGGUGCUCGCAAGCGACGAGCGGAGGUUGUUUGACAUCAGCACGGAAGAGGACGACAGGCACGGACGGAGGACAGAGCACCUCUCUUCUUCCAGGUUCUUCUCCUUAUCUUCACUUAAUGUAUGUGCCUGUGCUGCAGCUCACCCAUGGUCUUGUUUGUCUUGCAAGUUAGUGAGCAGCUUCAGGAGGAGCUCAAGCACAACCACCAAGAGGCACCACCGCAGCAACAGGUAGCACGUCCAUCUCGACCUCCCUCUCCCUCUGCUCCCAAUCCUUUUUAUUAGAUUAUGUUGAGUACAUUCUGAACCCCCUGAUGUGACACAAGUAUAUGCACAUGCUAUGAUUUAAGUGUUGCUUGUGUAUGGUAAAUAGGUUGAGAACCCACCGCUGUUUGAUACUAUUUUGUUUAGGAUUCCGUUCCUCUAUGCGUGUAAUCUCCAGACCAUGAUCAAGCAUACACACACCAGGACCUAACCAGGACAUGCACUUGUGCCAUGCAUAUUCAUAUUGUCUCUAUUGUCUUGUAUGAAUAUCUCAUUUUAACUAGCUCGGCUAAAAAAGCUUGGUACUAGCUUAAAUGUGUUUAUCAUUCUAUAAAGAAUUGUCCUUUACUCCUUCACUCCUUUUUUUGAAUGGAAUGUUCAUAAUAUAUUGGCUCCAAUUUUUCUAAUUCUUCUAAGCUGAUUCAUGUAACACGGUGAUCAUGGAAGGCAUGCAGUUGUUCUGUUAGCCCACUCCUGACUAUGGCCGUCCAGUGAGUCCGGCAUUUGAUCUCUAUUGAAGGAGCUCCAUGCUGAAGAAGAAAACACUUGUAGAGCUUGUAACAUUACUUGGAGAGCUUGUAAAGUAUUGUAGAGCUUGUAAAGUACUGUAGAGCUUGUAAAGCACUGUAUAUGUUAGAGCUUGUAUUACGUGUCAUUUGUAGAGCUUGUACUAAAUCUGGCCUAUUUAAAUACUGGUUAAAUUAUUAUGUGUGUUUUCUGAUUGCCUAUUUAAAAUCUGGUUAUUUUUUUAUUAUCAAAUUCAAAUUUGAUGUCAAAUUGAAAUAUGAAGAAUCUGAGCCUAAUAGCUAGGACCCACUUAUUAGAACCUGACAAGUGGGACCUGUUUGACUAAUGGACCCAUUCUAUAAAGAAAGAAAACUAAAAAUGUUGGUGGAAAAAGGCCAUGGCCCAGAAAAUAAAAAGGCCGAAUUUUAGGGCUUGGCCCAUGUAGUUCACUAAAAUUAGCAGGAAAAAAAUAUAAAUGGGCUGAAUUAAUGGGCUUGGCCCAUGUAGAAAACCGAAUUGGACCGGGCUGAAUCUUGUGCCACAUCAGCUUGCCACGCUGGAUGCCUACGUGGCCUGGGGAGGUUGCUAGUGACCAAAACGCCACAGUAGACGUAUUUUGGUCAUAAACGUCUACGACCUUCUCACAGAGAAGGUCGUGAAUGUCAGUUUACGACCGCCAGCUUUUGAACUUCUGUUUUUGGUCACAAAAAGGUCGCAAAUGAAAAACAGUGACCUUUCAGUGACCAAUAGUCAAGGUCACAAGUUAACAUAUUUCUUGUAGUGGAUGCUUAUGUCAAGAAACUUCAACUUGAAAAGCUCGAACCCAAGUCGGAAAAAUGCGUCUUCAUAGGAUACCCUAAGGAAACCAUUGGGUAUACCUUCUACCUCAGAUCCGAAGGCAAGAUCUUUGUUGCCAAGAACGGGUCCUUUCUGGAGAAAGAGUUUCUCUCGAAAGAAGUAAGUGGGAGGAAAGUGGAACUUGAUGAAGUACUGCCUCUUGAAAGUAGCGCAGCUCAGGAAGAUGUUCCUGUGAUGCGUGCACUGACUAGAGAGGAAACUAAUGAUGAUGAUCAAGGUACUUCGGAUCAAGUUACUACUGAACUUCGUAGGUCCAUGAGGACACGUUCCACACCAGAGUGGUAUGGAAACCCUGUCCUAGAAGUCAUGUUGUUAGACAACAGUGAACCUUCAAACUAUGAAGAAGCAAUGGCGGGCCCAAACUCCAACAAAUGGCUUGAAGCCAUGCAAUCCGAGAUAGGAUCCAUGUAUGAAAACAAAGUAUGGACUUUGAUAGACUUGCCCGAUGAUCGGCAAGUGAUAGAAAACAAAUUGAUCUUUAAGAAGAAGACGGACGCGGAUGGUAAUGUUACCAUCUAUAAAGUUCGACUUGUCGCUAAGGGUUAUCGACAAGUUCAAGGGGUUGACUACGAUGAGACUUUCUCUCCCGUAGCAAAGCUGAAGUCCGUCCGAAUCAUGUUAGAAAUUGCCGCAUACUAUGAUUAUGAGAUAUGGCAAAUGGACGUCAAAACGGCAUUCCUUAACGGCCAUCUUAAGGAAGAACUGUAUAUGAUGCAGCCGGAGGGUUUUGUCGAUCCUAAGAAUGCUAACAAGGUAUGCAAGCUCCAGCACUCCAUCUAUGGGCUGGUGCAAGCAUCUCGGAGUUGGAACAUUCACUUUAAUGAAAUGAUCAAAGCGUUUGGGUUUAUGCAGACUUAUGGAGAAGCCUGCGUUUACAAGAAAGUGAGUGGGAGCUCUGUAGCAUUUCUCAUAUUAUAUGUGGAUGACAUACUUUUGAUGGGAAAUGAUAUAGAACUUUUGGACAGCAUUAAGGCCUACUUGAAUAAGUGUUUUUCAAUGAAGGACCUUGGAGAAGCUGCUUACAUAUUAGGCAUCAAGAUCUAUAGAGAUAGAUCAUGACGCCCCAUAGGUCUUUCACAAAGCACAUACCUUGAUAAGAUAUUGAAGAAGUUCAAUAUGGAUCAGUCCAAGAAGGGGUUCUUGCCUAUGUUGCAAGGUGUGAAAUUGAGCUCGGCUCAAUGUCCGACCACGGCAGAAGAUAGAGAAAAGAUGAGUGUCGUCCCCUAUGCCUCAGCCAUAGGGUCCAUCAUGUAUGCCAUGACAUGUAUCAGACCUGAUGUAAACCUUGCCGUAAGUUUGGUAGGAAGGUACCAAAGUAAUCCCGACAUGGAACACUGGACAGCGGUCAAGAAUAUCCUAAAGUACCUAAAAAGGUCUAAGGACAUGUUUCUCGUAUAUGGAGGUGACGAAGAGCUCGUCGUAAAGGGUUACGUCGACGCUAACUUCGACACAGAUCUGGAUGACUCUAAGUCACAAACCGGAUACGUGUAUAUUUUGAAUGGUGGGGCAGUAAGCUGGUGCAGUUGCAAGCAAAGCGUCGUGGCGGGAUCUAGAUGUGAAGCGGAGUACAUGGCAGCCUCGGAGGCAGCGCAUGAAGCAAUCUGGGUGAAGGAGUUCAUCACUGACCUAGGAGUCAUACCCAAUGCGUCGGGGCCGAUCACACUCUUCUGUAACAACACCGGAGCUAUUGCACUUGCCAAGGAGCCCAGGUUUCACAAGAAGACUAGGCACAUCAAGCGUCGCUUCAACUCCAUUCGUGAAAAUGUUUAAGAUGGAGACAUAGAUAUUUGUAAAGUACAUAUGGACCUGAAUGUAGCAGAUCCGUUGACUAAACCUCUUCCUAGAGCAAAACAUGAUCAACACCAGAACUCUAUGGGUGUUCGAUUCAUCACAACGUAACUAGAUUAUUGACUCUAGUGCAAGUGGGAGACUGUUGGAAAUAUGCCCUAGAGGCAAUAAUAAAAUGGUUAUUAUUAUAUUUCCUUGUUCAUGGUAAUUGUCUAUUGUUCAUGCUAUAAUUGUCUUAUCCAGAAAUCAUAAUACAUGUGUGAAUAUAUAGACCACAACAUGUCCCUAGUGAGCCUCUAGUUGACUAGCUCGUUGAUCAACAUAUAGUCAUGGUUUCCUGACUAUGGACAUUGGAUGUCAUUGAUAACGGGAUCACAUCAUUAGGAUAAUGAUGUGAUGGACAAGACCCAAUCCUAAGCAUAGCACAAGAUCGUGUAGUUCGUUUUUCUAGAGCUUUUCCAAAUGUCAAGUAUCAUUUCCUUAGACCAUGAGAUUUUGAAACUCCCAGAUACCGUAGGAGUGCUUUGGGUGUGCCAAACGUCACAACGUAACUGGGUGACUAUAAAGGUGCACUACGGGUAUCUCCGAAAGUGUCUGCUGGGUUGGCACGAAUCGAGACUGAGAUUUGUCACUCUGUAUGACGGAGAGGUAUCUCUGGGCCUACUCGGUAAUGCAUCAUCAUAAUGAGCUCAAUUUGACCAAGUGUCUGGUCACGGGAUCAUGCAUUACGGUACGAGUAAAGUGACUUGCCGCUAACGAGAUUAAACGAGGUAUUGGGAUACCGACGAUCGAAUCUCGGGCAAGUAACGUACCGAUUGACAAAGGGAAUCGCAUAGGGGAUUGAUUGAAUCCUCGACAUCGUGGUUCAUCCGAUGAGAUCAUCGAGGAGCAUGUGGGAGCCAACAUGGGUAUCCAGAUCCCGCUGUUGGUUAUUGGACGGAGAGUCGUCUCGGUCAUGUCUGCAUGUCUCCCGAACCCGUAGGGUCUACACACUUAAGGUUCGGUGACGCUAGGGUUGUAGAGAUAUAAGUAUGCGGUAACUCAAAAGUUAUUCGGAGUCCCGGAUAAGAUCCCGAACAUCACGAGGAGUUCCGAAAUGGUCCGGAGAUGAACAAUUAUAUAUAGGAAGUCCAGUUUCGGCCAUCGGGAAAGUUUCAGGGGUCACCGGUAUUGCACCGGGACCACCGGAAGGGUCCCGGGGGUCCACCGGGUGGGGCCACCUAUCCCAGAGGGCCCCAUGGGCUGAAGUGGGAGGGGAACCAACCCCUGGUGGGCUGGUGCGCCCCCCUUGGCCUCCCCUGUGCCUAGGGUUGGAAACCCUAGGGGUGGGGGCACUCCACUUGCCUUGGGGGGCAAGCCACCCCCCUGGACCCCUAAAGAGGGGGCGAGGGAGGGCUGCGAACCCUAUCCCCUGGCGCCUCCCUCUCCCUCCCGUGACACCUCUCCCUCUCGCUGUGCUUGGCGAAGCCCUGUCGAGAUCGCUGCUGCAUCCACCACCACGCCGUCGUGCUGUUGGAUCUCCAUCAACCUCUCCUUCCCCCUUGCUGGAUCAAGAAGGAGGAGACGUCUUCCCAACCGUACGUGUGUUGAACGCGGAGGUGCCGUCCGUUUGGCGCUAGGAUCUCCGAUGAUUUGGAUCACGACGAGUACGACUCCCUCAGCCCCGUUCUCUUGAACGUUUUCGCACGCGAUCUACAAUUGUAUGUAGAUGCACUCCUCUCUCUCGUUGCUAGAUGACUCCAUAGAUUGAUCUUGGUAAAGCGUAGAAAAUUUUAUUUUCUGCAACGUUCCCCAACAGGGGCCGAAUCCCACUAGGACUGGAGUCCUAGUAGGACUCCCCUCUCCUUGGCGCGCCCCUUGUGGCCGGCGUCCUCCCCUCCUUUAUAUACGGGGGCAGGGGGCACCCCAAAGCACGACAAUUGUUUCUUAGCCGAGUGCGGUGCCCCCUCCACAGUUUACUCCUCCGGUCAUAGCGUCGUAGUGCUUAGGCGAAGCCCUGCGCGGAUCGCAUCACCAACACCGUCGCCACGCCGUCAUUCUGACGGAACUCUACCUCGACCAUCUACUGGAUCAAGAGCUCGAGGGACGUCAUCGAGCUUAACGUGUGCUGAACACAGAGGUGCCGUACGUUCGGUACUUGGAUCGGUUGGAUCAUAAAGACGUCCGAUUACAUCAACCGUGUUAACAUAACGCUUCCGCUUUUGAUCUACGAGGGUAUGUGGACACACUCUUCCCCUCUCGUUACUAUGGAUCGCCUAGAUAGAUCUUGCGUGAUUGUAGGAAAUUUUUCGAAAUUGCGUGCUACGUUCCCCAACAGAUUGAUUAGUAGAUCUUCAGAGGGAGUGGUCAUAGUACUAGGUUUAAUCUUGUGGUGCUCUAUAUCCCACUAACAAAAUAGGGACAUGACACAUAUUUGUAUUGUUGCCACUAAGGAUAGAACGACAUGGUUUGAUCUUAUUGCUAGAUUUCUUUCUUUCUAAAUUAUGUCAUCUUGCUUAUUGCGUUACUUUGUUUCUUGUAAACUUGAAUACUUUGAGAUGCAUGCUGGAUAGCAGUCUUGGGAUGGAAUAAUAGUAGUAGAUGCAGUUGGAUUAGUGGUGUACUUGUCAUGGACGUAGUGCCUAUAUGCGAUUAUGCCAUGAAUGAUCAUAGUUAUAAAGAUUGCUAUUCUUGCCAAUUAUCGAACUGUAAUUUGUUACCAUGUCGUUUUCCUUCUUUCAAGAGAGAUGCCUCUAGUGAACCUAUGACCCCCAUGUCUAUUCCUCCAUCAAUACAAACUUCUAUAAAUUUGCACUUUUACUUUCUUUUACUAUUUGCCAUUUUCAUUAUACCACUAUUAUCUAUAUAUUUCCUUUAAACCUUGUGACUAGCAACAUAAGGGACUUGACAAGCUGGGUGCAAGUAUUUUAUUUGUUUGUGUGCAUGCAGGGGUGAAACCAGUAUUUGAACAUGGGGGGGGGGGGCAAAGAUGAGAAUGCACUAGCAAAAAAUGCAGCACCAAUGUAUAUCAAUUCUUAAAUAUAUUGUAUAGAUAUCAAACAAACAAUGCUAAUAUAUUUUUUGAAAUUACAUUGAAAUAGCUACAUUUUUUUAUUGGCUUAGAUGUAUAUCUACGCACAACAAGCCCAUCAAACCAUCAAAAGUCGAGCUUUGUAGUGAUGUCACUCCUAAAAUAUAUACAUGUCGCUCCGCAUUCUCAUUAGUAGAGUGGGUGGUUAAAACAAAUGGCUUUAAUUGUGUGUUAUUGGUUGUCUCUUCUUAUUCAUGCUUUAUGCAAUUCUAGACUUCUAGUUACUAUAAAAACAGAUAUAUCAUUCUAGAGUGGGUGGUUAAAGAGACUUAUUGGUUGUCUCUUCUUAUUAGUAGAGUGGGUUUAGGGUUUAAUUAUGUAUUUGAGUCUAACUAUUAGUAGUUGUAUAAUCCAAAUGUAAAACCAACAUAUAUAUAUAUAUAUGUGUGUGUGUGUGUGUGUGUGUGUGUGUGUGUGUGUGUGUGUGUGUGUGUGUGUGUGUGUGUGUGUAGCAUAUCUUAGGUUGAGAUUAGACAAACCCACGCAGGCCAUGCUGUGAGAGCCGAGGGGGGGAGAUGCUUGCCAAUUACUAGUAGAUAGCUUGUGGAGUUAUGGUAGACUCAUACCGGCGUGCGGAAUCCUUCGUCAGUUAAGUCAUCGCUAAUGCUUAUGCGACAAGUCUGACGCCCGAUUGAGCCCUAGCUCCACGGCCGCGACGGUGAAAACGAUGGAGGAUGGAGUCGAGAAAACAGAUGGCAAGGCGAUGUAUUGUGUCAAUGCCAUGUAUUGGUCCAAUCGAUAAGUAAAGACAUGCAGACCAGCACAUCGAACCGAUUGUAGUAUGUGGCCUGUGGGCUAUCAAUUUUGGGCUUGGGCUAUUGAAAACUAGAUACACAGAGGUCAGGCCUACGCGUUUUCUAAUGGCCAGAUACUAAUUAGCAAUAGGCUUCUUCUCAAAAAAGAAUUAGCAAUAGACGUACAACUAGCCAACAUAUCCUCGUGUGAAUUCAACGCUAGUCUCCGCUGAGUUUUCUUGAAGGGGGCCGAUCGAUAGGGGGAGCUGGCUCCCGCUCGCGCCCUGUGGCUCCGCCACUGUGUUCUUGUACUGCUUAAUUUAUUAGCUUGCUGAUUCCUAAUGAUUUGAUUAAAUCUUGAUUCUUAACUGAGAGAAAUACUUCGAUUUUAUGCUACAUCAUCCUUCCUUUUUAGGAAAAUCCAACAACUCCUACGGGAAUAGCAAAAAAUUUCUGACACUGUUGUCAGGGAAUCAUCUUCUACCAAAUUAGGUGCCUUCAUACAAACUCCUUAUUUUACUUGUUUUAUUUCUUGCCUAGUUAUGUUAUCUUUAUCGUACUCACUAAACAGAAACUAAAAAUUAGAGACAAACUCCAUCAUUUUAUCCUUAGUGGCAACAAUAUAAAUGCGUGUCCUGUCCCCAUUCUUUCAUUGGGAUACAGGACGCCGCGAGAUUAGAACCCACUACAAUGGCCACUCCCUCUGAAGAACUACCCAUCAAACUUGGCCAAAGAAGAGAAAAGAUCGAAGAGCAUACAAAUGUAUUCAAUUAUACAACAAAGAAACUUCAAAAGAUUCAAUUGGUUCCAAUGACAAUCUGGUCAUGAAGAAAUAGUUCAUCAUAACUCAACAAACACACCAUCGAUUACAUGAGAUGGAUACCAAUCAUGUGAGGAAGCUCAUGAGAACUUUGUAUUAAAGACAAGAAAGAGAGAAUGUCAUCUAGCUACUGCUAUGGACCCGAAGAUCCUAAGGAAACUACUUACACAUGAUCAUGGAGACAGAAAAAUUGAUGAAGAAGCCUCUAGCAAUGGAUUCCCCCUCCGGCGGGGUACCGAAACAGGUCUCCAGAUUGGAUAUCCUCAAAAACUUGCGGCAGCGAAGAAAAUCGGAAAAAAAAUGGCAUUGAGGGUUUUGCGAAAUAAGGGAUUUAUAGGUGGAAGAAUGGAGCUAAGGCGGUGCAUAGGGGCCCAUGCAGCCUAGGUGAGUGGGUCAGCCCCUGGUUGUGCCUCCUACCUGUGUGGAGGCCCUGUGAGUCCUCUCGUUUGGCUCUAGUAUUUUCUGGACUCUACUCGUGGAGAAAAAAAUGUAUUAAAUCCCCGUAAUAUUUUGACCCCUGUAGAUAUUGGUUUCUAAGAAACCAAAAACAUGCAAAAAAACAACAACUGAAGCUGGCUAAAUUAGUAGGUUAGUCUAGAAAAAUAAUAUAAAUUGUUAUAAAAAGUAUAUAAAAAUGAUAACAUAAUAGCAUUUAACAAUAAAAAAAUUAUAUAUAUGUUUGAGACAUAUGAAGCAACCAGAAGAAACAAAUGCAGAGCAAGAGCCAGUUGAAGAACACUUUGUAGAGGAUAAUGUUGAAGACGAGCUUGCUGGUGAGGAGGAGCAUUCUGAAAAGGUAUUCGAUUAUGCUGAUGAGGUCGCAGAGGAGCAUGAUGUAGAAGUUUCUGAUGUUAGAGGAAAUGGCAGUGAAACGGGGUCUUAUUAUGCUGAUGAGAGUGUAGACACUGAUUAUGAUGUCAGUGAUUUAGACCAAAGAGGACACAAUUGAAGAGCAUGUUGAUGUGAAUGUUAGAUCAAAGACAGAGCCUUUACAAGAUUUUGAUGAAGUGGAACUAAUACUACCAGAUUCUGAUGAUGAAGCACUAAAAAGGCAUAUCUUCAAAGGGUUUAGGAACGAAGAAUUUCAUGAUCCACAAUUUAAGACUGAGCAAGUCCUCCGGCCGGUCCCCAGAACUGUUUAGGCAAGCAGUUAAAGAUUUCAUAUUUUAUAUCCGUUUGGUGGUACAUUUUGGAUUAGUAAAAACGUCAUUUAUCAAACAAAAAAAAAA
rnacentral:lncRNA from 1 species